rnacentral:snRNA from 1 species
GGAUGACCUUGCCGUAUGGUCAGUCACUCCAUUCAUCACCAGGAUUGAGUUGGCUGAUCUAGCUGACAUAGCAGGUAUUUCAUCCUUGGGCAUCUCUUCCUGAGCUGUGUGCACUGUCAAGGAGGACACACUUCCCAGUCAGCUAUGGGUAUCAUUUUUAACCAAGAAGAAGCCUGAUUAACUAUAUACUUUCUGUUCAAGUAACAAAUUAGUCUCAUCAAAUAGUAUUCUUCCUCAUUUUUUUUUAGGAAAAAUGGAAGAUUUCUAGAUCAAUUUGGAAAGCCCAUCUACUCCUUCUCUAAUCUGAAGUAUAGGACAAU